GAAUAAAGCAUAGAGUUGGAGAAACAGAAGACCUGGUUUUGAUAUGAAACAACAUUAUUUUCAAUUUGACUAAAUAGCGUGGUCACACGGCACAGGUUCAGGCUUCAGUGAAUCUGUAAGGUGGUGGAUACUUAUAUGAUGUUGAUUAUGAGAAGUUUCCUUUAAGCAUGUUUCCCAAGAAGCAAGCUCACAAUUUUCCAGGUUUCACAGUGACUUCACAUCUUCAAAUUCAGUUUUGAAAUGAGUGCCAUAUUUUGUCUACUUCAUACAGUACAUCUUUGCAACAAGCUUCCUUCUGCACACACUUUCUGGUUGCAGUGUCAGCCUACUCCAGUUUGUCAUGAUUGCAGCUGCCCAUGGAGAAAACACCUUUACAGG